rnacentral:rRNA from 1 species
UGGCUCAGAACGAACGCUGGCGGCGUGCCUAAUACAUGCAAGUCGAGCGAGAAAGCCUCUUCGGAGGUGAGUAAAGCGGCGCACGGGUGAGUAACACGUGGGCAACCUACCCUUGAGUCUGGGAUAACCCGGGGAAACUCGGGCUAAUACCAGAUACGGCUGCGGGGUCUUCGGAUCCUGUGGAGAAAGAUGGCCUCUUCAUGAAAGCUAUCUCUCGAGGAUGGGCCCGCGUCCUAUUAGCUAGUUGGUGAGGUAACGGCUCACCAAGGCAAAGAUGGGUAGCUGGUCUGAGAGGAUGGCCAGCCACACUGGAACUGAGACACGGUCCAGACUCCUACGGGAGGCAGCAGUAGGGAAUUUUGGGCAAUGGGCGAAAGCCUGACCCAGCAACGCCGCGUGUGGGAUGAAGGCCCUCGGGUCGUAAACCACUGUCAGGAGGAAAGAAAAGCUGGCCGGCUAACAUCCGGUCGGCCUGACGGUACCUCCAAAGGAAGCACCGGCUAACUCCGUGCCAGCAGCCGCGGUAA